rnacentral:tRNA from 3 species
GGGUCCAUAGCUCAAUGGUCAGAGCAGUCGGCUCAUAACCGAUUGGUUCCAGGUUCGAGUCCUGGUGGACCCA